GCCAGACUCCUACGGGAGGCAGCAGUGGGGAAUAUUGGACAAUGGGGGGAACCCUGAUCCAGCGACGCCGCGUGAGUGAAGAAGUAUUUCGGUAUGUAAAGCUCUAUCAGCAGGGAAGAAAGAAAUGACGGUACCUGACUAAGAAGCCCCGGCUAACUACGUGCCAGCAGCCGCGGUAAUACGUAGGGGGCAAGCGUUAUCCGGAUUUACUGGGUGUAAAGGGAGCGUAGGCGGUUCAGCAAGUCAGAAGUGAAAGCCCGGGGCUCAACUCCGGGACUGCUUUUGAAACUGUUGAACUAGAUUGCAGGAGAGGUAAGUGGAAUUCCUAGUGUAGCGGUGAAAUGCGUAGAUAUUAGGAUGAACACCAGUGGCGAAGGCGGCUUACUGGACUGUAAAUGACGCUGAGGCUCGAAAGCGUGGGGAGCAAACAGGAUUAGAUACCCCGGUAA
rnacentral:rRNA from 1 species